rnacentral:lncRNA from 1 species
UCAGCGAUUGGCUGAGAGCACCGAAGCCCCGCCCCUUCCGGUGCACCCCGCCCUCUCAGACCCCGCCCGCACGGCGAUGGCUGCCGAUAGCCCCGCCCCUUCCGGUGACCACGCCCCUGUAAGCCCCGCCUCUUCCGAAGACUCCGCCCCAUCUUUGGACAGCGCUCCGUCCCCAGAGGGUGCCAUCGAGGAACGGGUGGAGCUGCGCCCGGGGCACUUCGAGGUGCUGCUGUGCGCUGAUGUCACCGAGGGCACCGGCCCGGGCCGGUCCCGCGGGGCGCUGCCCCCCCUGCAGGCUGUGGGGCAGCGGGUGGAGCUGCGCCGGUUGCCGGUCGGUGACUUCCUGUGGGUGGCACGAGAGACAGAUCCGCCCCCAGGUGGGCGGGACUUCCGGCGGGAGGGACUUCCGGUGGGCGUAGUGGGCGGGGCUAUGGGUGGGUGUGCGGGGUGUUGUGAAUGGU